rnacentral:rRNA from 1 species
CCUACGGGCGGCAGCAGUGAGGAAUAUUGGUCAAUGGACGAGAGUCUGAACCAGCCAAGUAGCGUGAAGGAUGACUGCCCUAUGGGUUGUAAACUUCUUUUAUAUGGGAAUAAAAUGUUCCACGUGUGGGAUUUUGUAUGUACCAUAUGAAUAAGGAUCGGCUAACCUCGUGCCAGCAGCCGCGGUAAUACGGAGGAUCCGAGCGUUAUCCGGAUUUAUUGGGUUUAAAGGGAGCGUAGGGGGAUUGUUAAGUCAGUUGUGAAAGUUUGCGGCUCCACCGUAAAAUUGCAGUUGAAACUGGCAGUCUUGAGUACGGUAGAGGUGGGCGGAAUUCGUGGUGUAGCGGUGAAAUGCUUAGAUAUCACGCAGAACUCCGAUUGCGAAGGCAGUUCACUGGACUGCAACUGACACUGAGGCUCGAAAGUGUGGGUAUCAAACAGGAUUAGAUACCCCAGUAGUC